GCAGGUGGCAAGCGUUGUCCGGGAAUUAUUGGGGCGUAAAGCGCGCGCAGGCGGUUCUUUAAGUCUGAUGUGAAAGCCCACGGGCUCAACCGUGGAGGGUCAUUGGAAACUGGAGAACUUGAGUACAGAAGAGGAAAGCGGAAUUCCACGUGUAGCGGUGAAAUGCGUAGAGAUGUGGAGGAACACCAGUGGCGAAGGCGGCUUUCUGGUCUGUAACUGACGCUGAGGCGCGAAAGCGUGGGGAGCAAACAGGAUUAGAUACCCUGGUAGUCCACGCCGUAAACGAUGAGUGCUAAGUGUUAGGGGGUUUCCGCCCCUUAGUGCUGCAGCUAACGCAUUAAGCACUCCGCCUGGGGAGUACGGCCGCAAAGGCUGA
rnacentral:rRNA from 1 species